UACGGAGGGUGCAAGCGUUGCUCGGAAUCACUGGGCGUAAAGGGCGCGUAGGUGGCUUCUCAAGCGCGCGGUGAAAGCCCGGGGCUCAACCCCGGGUCGGCCGUGCGGACUGGGAGGCUCGAGCACUGUAGGGGCGGGUGGAAUUCCGGGUGUAGCGGUGGAAUGCGUAGAGAUCCGGAAGAACACCGGUGGCGAAGGCGGCCCGCUGGGCAGGAAGGCUCGCAAGAGCCGGCUGACACUGAGGCGCGACAGCGUGGGGAGCAAACAGG
rnacentral:rRNA from 1 species